UCGAGAAUCUUCCGCAAUGGGCGCAAGCCUGACGGAGCGAUGCUGCGUGCCGGACGAAGGCCUUCGGGUCGUAAACGGCUGUCACUCGGGACGAAUUUUGACGGUACCGAGAGAGGAAGCCACGGCUAACUACGUGCCAGCAGCCGCGGUAAUACGUAGGUGGCGAGCGUUAUUCGGAAUUAUUGGGCCUAGAGGGUUCGUAGGGGGUAAUGUAAGUCCGGUGUGAAAUCUCGAGGCUCAACCUCGAAACUGCAUUGGAAACUGCAUUACUUGAGUGUCAGAGAGGAAAGCGGAAUUCCUGGUGUAGCGGUGGAAUGCGUAGAUAUCAGGAAGAACACCGACGGCGAAGGCAGCUUUCUGGCUGGCAACUGACCCUGAUGAACGAAAGCUAGGGUAGCGAACAGGAUUAGAUACCCUGGUAGUCCUAGCUGUAAACGUUGUGCACUGGAUGUGGGCGGAUUUGGUCCCGUCUGUGUCUGAGCGAAGGCGUUAAGUGCACCGCCUGGGGACUACGGCCGCAAGGCUAAAACUCAAAGGAAUUGACGGGGGCCCGCACAAGCGGUGGAGCAUGUGGCUCAAUUCGAGGCAACGCGAAGAACCUUACCUGGGUUUGACAUAUACCUGACCGCCGGUGAGAGCCGGUUUCUCUUUGAGCAGGUAUACAGGUGCUGCAUGGCUGUCGACAGCUCGUGCUGUGAAGUGUUCGGUUAAGUCCGGCAACGAGCGCAACCCACGCUGUUAGUUACCAUCAGGUAAUGCUGGGGACUCUAACAGGACUGCCCGUGCUAAGCGGGAGGAAGGCGUGGACGACGUCAAGUCCGCAUGGCCCUUACGCCCAGGGCUGCACACGUGCUACAAUGGCCGGUACAGAGGGUCGCCACUCUGCGAAGAGGAGCUAAUCCCGAAAACCGGCCCCAGUUCGGAUUGGAGUCUGCAACCCGACUCCAUG
rnacentral:rRNA from 1 species